rnacentral:misc_RNA from 1 species
AAAAAAAGAAAUCUCUAAAGAAGUAAAAUUCCAACAAGUGGAACAUAAGGACCAAAUUCUAGACAUAUAUACUUGCCAGGUAGAAGUAGAACAAAUGAAAAUGGCUGACAAAUUUGUUUACCUACACUCUAAUUCCUCCUCGCCACUCUUUUUUCUUUCUUGGGGAAGUUAGUGUAAAUGGAAGAAACAGUGAGUUAUCAUCAGUUAUGAGUUUGUGUAUAAUAAGACAUGAUUCUCCUUCAGCCCCAGGUAUCAUAAGAUCGCAAAAUGUCCAAGGGUAAGUGUGACUGUGACAGUGUGAGUAUGAGU